AGGUAAAGAAAAAUUUAUUUUUGUACCUUUUGUAUCAGGGGAGCUUAAAAGUAUAGUGAUAAAAUAUUCGAGUGUAUCUGAACUUUGUGUUAAUGUGGUGUUAAAUUAUUGUGUUUAAUAUAUUUAUGUGGUGAAAAGUGUACGAUGGUAUUGAUAUCUGAUUACUUAAAAUUUUUGGGGUUAAGUCUUAAUAUUAUACCAUAAUUAGUUUUUUUUGAAAAAAUCAGGCUUUAAAUUAGCUUAAUUUAGGUAUUGUUUUAAAAAAAUUCUUAACAGCCAUAAAUAUUGGAGUUAAAAGGUUAUACAAAGGUAAUAAAAAUUUUUAAAAAUAAUGAGUUUAUUGAAUAUGUGGUGGAAUCUAUAAAUAACUAAAUAAAAUCAAGACAGUUUAACAAAAACAUUUUUAUUUGUGGUAUUAAAAGUAAAACCUGCCCGGUGAGAUUUAACGGCUGCGGUAUUUUGACCGUGCUAAGGUAGCAUAAUCACUUGUUUUUUAAUUGGGGACCGGUAUGAAUGGUUAAACUUGAUUUUUUGUUUGUUGGGUUUAAUAAGAAAUUAAAGUCAAGGUAAUAAUUCUUUGAUUAAUUUAGGGGACGAUAAGACCCUAAAAGCUUUAUAAGUUUAUUGAUUUAUAGUGUUAAAUAGAUAUUUAUUUUACUGGGGCGGUAUAAGUUAAUUUGCUAUAGGAGUUGUAUAUGAUCCCUUAUAUUAGGAUGUGUUGGUUAAGUUACUUUAGGGUUAACAGUGCAAUAUUUUUGAAGAGAUCUUAUCGAUAAAAGUGUUUGCAACCUCGAUGUUGAAUUAAAAUAUCUACGUAGGGUAGAAAAUAUAGUAGAG
rnacentral:rRNA from 1 species